rnacentral:rRNA from 1 species
UACAGAGGGUGCGAGCGUUGUCCGGAAUCACUGGGCGUAAAGGGCGCGUAGGCGGUUCGGUAAGUCGGGGGUGAAAGGCUGCGGCUCAACCGCAGCACGGCCCUCGAGACUGCCGGGCUCGAGCACGGUAGAGGCUGGUGGAAUUCCCGGUGUAGCGGUGGAAUGCGUAGAGAUCGGGAAGAACACCGGUGGCGAAGGCGGCCAGCUGGGCCGUUGCUGUCGCUGAGGCGCGAAAGCGUGGGGAGCAAACAGG